rnacentral:rRNA from 1 species
UACGGGGGGGGUAAGCGUUGUUCGGAAUUACUGGGCGUAAAGGGCUCGUAGGCGGCCAACUAAGUCGGACGUGAAAUCCCUCAGCUUAACUGGGGAACUGCGUCCGAUACUGGAUGGCCUGGAUUUGGGAGAGGGAUGCGGAAUUCCAGGUGUAGCGGUGAAAUGCGUAGAUAUCUGGAGGAACACCGGUGGCGAAGGCGGGUAGCUGGGCCAACACUGACGCUGAUGCGCGAAAGCUAGGGUAGCAAACGGG